rnacentral:rRNA from 1 species
AUUGAACGCUGGCGGCAGGCCUAACACAUGCAAGUCGAGCGGAUGAAGGGAGCUUGCUCCUGGAUUCAGCGGCGGACGGGUGAGUAAUGCCUAGGAAUCUGCCUGGUAGUAGGGGAUAACGUCCGGACACGGGCGCUAAUACCGCAUCCGUCCUGAGGGAGAAAGUGGGGGAUCUUCGGACCUCACGCUAUCAGAUGAGCCUAGGUCGGAUUAGCUAGUUGGCGGGGUAAAGGCCUACCAAGGCGACGAUCCGUAACUGGUCUGAGAGGAUGAUCAGUCACACUGGAACUGAGACACGGUCCAGACUCCUACGGGAGGCAGCAGUGGGGAAUAUUGGACAAUGGGCGAAAGCCUGAUCCAGCCAUGCCGCGUGUGUGAAGAAGGUCUUCGGAUUGUAAAGCACUUUAAGUUUGGAGGAAGGGCAGUAAGUUAAUACCUUGCUGUUUUGACGUUACCAACAGAAUAAGCACCGGCUAACUUCGUG